UCGGAGUGGGACCUCCUAUCGAACUCACCUCUUGCCUUUUACCAGAUGUGACCGUUGGAUGGCCCAACAGACUCCAUUCCACCAAUCUUUGGACACCAUCGUCUGGACUACCCGGAU
rfam:Colletotrichum orbiculare MAFF 240422 contig04413, whole genome shotgun sequence.